GGCUUUUACGGGUCAGUGGAAGGCUGGUUAAACCGUUUGGUUUUCGACCACUAUGACCCGGGUUCGAUUCCCGCAUUGGACA